UCUUUGGAGAGUUUGAUCCUGGCUCAGGACGAACGCUGGCGGCGUGCCUAAUACAUGCAAGUCGAGCGGACCGGGCGGGAGCUUGCUUCCGCUUGGUUAGCGGCGGA
rnacentral:rRNA from 1 species